AGAACUGGCCGACUUCCCAGUUACUGAGACAUGCAAAGUUUUGUAGGGCUCUGCUCCUAUUCCCAGUGCUUUAUUUAUGGGUUUGCCAAUACUGCAAGACCACCACAGAGGUUGGGUGAGAAAGGGAAGCCAUUUCAAUAUACAGCAGAAUGUGAUUUAGAAUUUUUAGAGCUGGAGAAACUUCUUUCUAAGUCUUUCUGAAUUUCAACUCUUCCAUGCUGAAAACAGGCCUGUUGUCUCAGGGGGUCUGCUGCUUACCAUCUCUGCUGAUGAAUCUCUGAACCCAACAGAAAGGAGUUGUUGACAGCAACCAUCCUUGUUUCCUCUUGUAAUUAGUAGUCUCAGUCCUUUGGCGCGCACAGUAUCAUCUUUUCCACCAAUGUGGUAUCCAUUUCUUCUGUGAAGACGGAGCAGCAUACUAGUUCUUCAUCUCAGAGGAUGUGGGUUUGAAGGUGAAGUGCUCUCUCCUACCACAGAGACUCCCAGACUACCCAUGCAUCCUGUAAAUCCCUUUCCUGUUACCUGAGGGAACCUAUCCACAAACAUCUCCUUGGCUGCAAGAACAAGAAGGCUACAUUUCCCACAAAGCAAUGACCAAGGCAAUAGUGUCCAGGCUUGAGCACUACAUCAAACUUUGUACUGCUUUUUACUACAAGAUUGCUUAGGCACAUAAAUACAUUAAAGAACUGAUCAUCAUCUGCUCUGAAGGAAGCAUAACUAUUCUUAAAGGUUGAUGUCUAUCCUUUUCUCAGGCUGGAUCAUGAGGGGGGCAUAUGGGGGUUUUCGAAUCGUUGCUAUGAAAAGUUUAUAAGAUGGAUUUAACAUUUCCUUUUGGAUCUGUCUGAUAUUAUUUGGCAAUUCAUUCCAUAUCUGGUGUUUUCAUUAUGAAGACACACUGCUUUCAGCUCCUGAAAAUCUUUUACUGGAUUUCUCCAGCUAUAUAGUCCUAAAGGGCAGCAUAGCAGGAGAUAGAUAUGUUCUAAAUUGUUAAGGGUGCUGCAUAAUAAGGUCAGGAUUUUCAAUUAGAUUUGCAGAGACCAAGAUAGUUCACAAAGUGCUACUAUGAUAUAUUCAGGGGUGUACUUGGUAGCCGUGUUGGUCUGAGACAGAAAGACAUACAAAAAACUAGAACUCUUGGUUCUAAAAUGAUACCUUUUGUUAGACCAACUGGAAAAUGGCAAGAAAAUUGUCCUUUUCUGCAAGCUUUCGGGAAUCAAAGUCCCUUUGUCAGGCUCUGGGAAAAGUGUAGAUGGUACAAGAUGGUAAAAAGUCCCCAUAGUUCAGAAAUAAACUUCAUUUUUGCACAGAGGGAGCUGAAGAUGGAAGUCUGUCCCUCUGGGUCUAUGAGAGUGUCUUUGUGAGCUGUGUUGAGUAGCUCUUUGAUGUGUUGAUAAGGUAGAAUUCCUUCCCUGAAGGUGUCAGAUGGUAGGUAGGGAGGCAAAAAAAAAGGCUAUGAUAUAUUAGCCUCCAUCUUUGUUGCUUUUGAAAUAAUAUUCCCCAUAAGUCACAACAAUAAUCAUAAUAAUACUAAUAACAGUCUUGUCAUUAAAAGUUCAAUAAAUAAGCAAAACAUUUCACAAAUGUUUUAAACUACUAUUAUGUGUCAAACAGACUACAUAAGACAAAACAUGUUUAUAAUACUGCUUACUGUCUGUUUACUGUAAUGCUGUUUGUAAUCCUGGCUGGCCUUGUUCAAGAAAUUAAACAGUUUUAUAACAAAAUACAGCUUAC